rnacentral:rRNA from 1 species
UGGGGAAUAUUGCACAAUGGGCGAAAGCCUGAUGCAGCAACGCCGCGUGAGUGAUGAAGGUCUUCGGAUUGUAAAGCUCUGUCUUUUGGGACGAUAAUGACGGUACCAAAGGAGGAAGCCACGGCUAACUACGUGCCAGCAGCCGCGGUAAUACGUAGGUGGCGAGCGUUGUCCGGAUUUACUGGGCGUAAAGGGUGCGUAGGCGGAUGU